GUUUUACUUUAUUUUUAGUUGUAUAAAAUAUACCUCUAGCCCCUAAAUUAGUAUUUAUAAAUACUCUAUUGCCACAUUAAUUUCUCAUACCUAAUAAAAUAGUUUAAUGUUUUAAUAUUUAUAAAAUGCAUUUAAUUAUUUGUUUAAGCCACCGUUCUAUUUAGUUUAGCGCUUUUAAUUAUUUUAUAAAAAUGUGAUCCUCCACCAUAAUUACCUAUGCAAUAUUUGCCGCCUCUAGAACAUUUUAAUUUUAAUGUUUGAAAACUUUACCAUUUGACUUGAUUUUGAAUUUUGAAUUCAAACGGGAUUUGAAUCAUCGUGAGAUCAACAACAGUAAUCGUGGUGAUGUGGCAUCCUUAGUAGAGGGUUACUGUAGCUUAAAUAUCCGGGCGUCACAAUUCUCCUCCUCUACAAGAAAUCUCGUCCCGAGAUUUAAGAGGGAAGUAAAGGGGGAAGGUUCGGGUUACGAAAUUCUAGGGAGUGUUCUUGGUCUUGGUUGUUCUGCUUCAAGAGGUUGAUCCAUUACAUUGAUGUCUUCUUUUCGCUGUUUCAGGGCAUCAUGAUGAAGUUGUCGUCCUUUCUUCGGGAACUCCAUCGUACUUACGAAUAGGUCAGGGGCAGCUUUACAACAAUUGAAUGUAAUAAGGGAAAAUCAUCUUGGGGGGGUAUCCCAAGAAUGAUCGUAAGAGUAUCUCUCGAGUUGAACAAAUGAAACACAUCGAGAGCAAAGUAAGAAGGUACCAUAAGAAGUUUGAAGCGGAUAGACAAUCGUCGUUGCCUGAAACGAAGUGUGAAAGGGGUUCAAGGCAACGAGAAUAAGUAUUGUGUUUAAUACCAGGAUUGAGGAUCACACGGAAGGUGGCUCGUGAAUUGCAUACGAAGCCAAGCGUGAGGAAUAUCUUUGGAAACAAGGGGUGUACAAGAGAGUCAGGUUUCGAUCCUAUGUAACUGUGGGUUAUGGGCCCACCAUGUGGGUUGAAAAUAGGAAGGGCGGUGAUGUCUUGCACGAUCAUGUAAGUAAGGCAUGUCAGAGGGUAGACUGUCAGUUAUGUUGGCAACAACGUCGGUACCAAGGGCGAGGGACGAAGAGAACCAUUUUCCCGCUCGUUGAACAAGGCGGACCAAUAGGUAAAGUUCUCUUCCAUCGGUGGCUAUCGGAAUGUCAUAAACAAUAGUAACAGGGUCUUACUAAUAGAGUUGUACACUGAGGUGUUUACAUAAGCAGGAGAAUAUUACUGCUUAGAUUAUAUGGAUCACAAGGAAGGUUAAACAAAUCAAAUGGAAGGAAAAUGUGAUCAUCAUAUCAAACAGAACAAUGGAAAGGAAAAUGUGUUUGACACAUAUACCAGGGGUAUACCCUUCCCAAGGACAAGCGGAGUAUCAUAUCCAUGAUAGGAUAGAAAGUAGAAUACCAUUUAGGUAAGGGGAGACAAAUUUCAUGACAUUACCCAUACAACGAUGUUUGGAUAAUUGAUAAAGGGAAUUUAGCAUUUUGAAGAUCAAAGUACCAACGACUUGCUUCGAGAUAGCAUUGACAUGGCCCCCAAGCAAAGGUCGAACUUUGGAUACACCAACAUCCAUCAGGAUCAACUUAUAGAAUAAGCCUUACAAUUUCCUAAUGGAAGAAUGGCUAACCUUGCUAAAAAGGGGACUAUAACAAUAGGUCCUCCGGCCAGGUGUGCUAGGCAUGACACCAUCUUACCGGGUCAAAGACUAAUGUUAUAACUCCUGGAAUUAUGUCCAACCAUCAUGUCUGACCGAGAUUCAUAUCUGAUUGGUGACAUGAUACCUCAGACUCAGGAUGUCUGAGAAGAAAAGGUGCAACACAAAUUGACGAGAUGGAGUUACAAGACUAUCGAGAAAUGGACUAUGGAAGCAGGUCCCGAAACCAGAGUUCGGCAUUAAACCAAGGAGUGGAUGAGGAGGUGGCUGAUGGACUCAGCGACAUAUCAUCCAGAUUUCUCAAAAAGACGGAUUUCCACAAUUAGGUGAACAAGGAAAUAUCAUUUGUCGGAUCAAAUGAUAUAAUGAUGUAUGCUCGAGGGAAACAUAGACAACUGAACAAUGAUAGAAGGGUGCACCCAGGAAUCUGGACUAGGUAGCACGGUUAAAAUUUAGCACGAUAAUGAUAUAGCCAACCAGGCUAGGAAUGACUUGAAGGAUUAUUAAACUCGUAAGCAAUGAAAAUUACUUAUAAUUAUUAAAUCGGAGUACAGACUCAAUUCACUAUCGGUGUCCUUGAGUGUCUAACAACUCAGAAUCCGGGGAAAAUUUUGGAAUCAGUGAGAAAUAAUACUUGAAGAAGAACUCAUAAGAAGUUAUGCAGUUCCUUGAUAAUCUCAAGAUACCAGAGGGGGUAAUACUCGACGACGGAUCAAAGUAGAGGUUGGACUGGGGUAUUGCUCUACAGAAGACAAGCGCUUAAACUUGCCCGAGAAAUGGGAUCAAAGAAGAACAUAUGGUCGGAACCACGAUUGCAAGGAUCAAUUCACAGAUACCAAAUGAUAUUAUAUCAAGGGGAUAGUUAUUAUUACAAGAAGCUUCCAUGAUAGGAUAUACAUCGUGUCCAUGGGCAUGAACACAAGUUCAAGGUCGACUCUCACUUCUUCAGUGUAUAACCUUUCAUUCACUUCUCUUUUUCGAAGAAGUUGUAGGGUUGAAUUAUCUGGCAAAAUACCAGACGACUAUGACUCGUGAAAACUUUUGAGUUCACACAUAAUAUGGAAGGCAUAGGUUCAACCAUCGAGGCAUCUUAGGAGCAUAUACCACAAUUUCAGGAAUAAAUAACUCAAGCUCGAGAGUAGAGUAUGCUGGAGAAAGCAAAUGAUACAAUUUAUCAAAGGCAUUAUAUACCCAUGGAAAUGCUCACAAGGUUAUUCAAUAUGAAGCACCCUGUCGGAUAAAAUCCAACGAAGGAACCGAUGGUCCACAAGGGAUAUGAUGUGAGCAUCGGUACUCAACCAGAGUAAGAAGAAUGCAGGUAGACCUGAUUAUAGAAACAACUGACUAAUUCAAAGUUCACAUGCAAAAGAAUUAUGAUUUCCAAAUCAGGGGAUCAGAAGCCACGCUCUGAUCAAGGAUGGAUAAGUUGAGUAGGCUUAGGGGUACAUUCGAUGGCAGUUUGAUUGGUCGAGAUCCAGCUCAUGUACAAAUUGACACUGAGUCGGAAGAAUGAAUUCAAGGAUUCGACUGAGGAAUGCGAGCAUUCGCAUCUUAUUGAAUCAAUGGACUCAAAAGGGUAGUGGCAAAGGAUGCCAAUAAGAUUACUAGACUUAUGGGAUUAACCAAAAUGUAAGCAAGCAAGAAUUUCAAGAGCAAUAGGCUCCUGAGGAUUUUUGGAAGAUCGAAUGGUAUUUCGAGGAUUGAUGACAUACAUGAAUCAACUGGAGAUGAGUGGAUACUCGGUAAGUGUGAGAAAUUAUCCGUAGGGAUAUUCAUGUGGCAAGAACUGCAAGGCAGUAGGCACAACGUAUCCUCGAAACAUUAGAGAGAAUUUCAGGGUAUCUUGUAAUAACAAGAUCAACUGGGGAAGAAUGUAAGAACAACAACUAUAAGUAGUUAUCCUUAGGGGUUUACGGUGGAAGGGGAAUUGCAAGAGGGAUGGCACAAAGUAUCGAGGGAACAUCCGAGAGUAUUGUCAGAAUCUUUCGUUGAAGCAGCCGAUCAUCCAUAUUAAAGGGCUCUCUGGCAGGAAGUGGUAACGAGAACCUAGAGUUGGAUUUUAGCAAAAUCAUUUAACCCGAAUAGAAGAGAGUUCAGAGUCCCAGAGUAAGGAUCGAGGAGUAAAAGAUCCUAAUACCACCCAGAUGGCGACGUGGGCCCGUAAGCCGCACAGCCAUGUUAGUAAAAGUUUUUGUAAUGUCUAGACUCGACUUCGGCCAAGGUGUGUGGAAGGGGGAUUCCUACAGGCAGUCGGCUCUGAUACCAACUUGUCGCGCCCCCGAUUUAAUCGUACACUAAUCAUACACGCAAACGUGUACGAUCAAGAUCAGGGACUCACGGGAAGAUAUCACAACACAACACUACAAAUAAAAUAAGUCAUACAAGCAUCAUAUUACAAGCCAGGGGCCUCAAGGGCUCGAAUACAAGAGCUCGGUCCUAGACGAGUCAGCGGAAGCAACAAUAUUUGAGUACAGACAUAAGUUAAACAAGUUGCCAUAAGAUGGCUAGCACAAACUGGGAUACAGAUCGAAAGAGGCGCAGGCCUCCUGCCUGGGAUCCUCCUAACUACUCCUGGUCAUCGUCAGCGGGCAACACGUAGUAGUAGGCACCUCCGGUGUAGUAGGAGUCGUCAUCGACGGUGGCGUCUGGCUCCUGGACUCCAGCAUCUGGUUGUGACAACCAGAAAGAAGGGAAAGCGGGAAAAGGGGGGAGAAAGCAACCGUGAGUACUCAUCCAAAGUAUUCGCAAGCAAGGAGCUACACUACAUAUGUAUGCAAUGGUAUCAACUGGAAUAAGGCUAUUAUAUGUGGACUGGAUUGCAAAAAGCCGAAAUAAGAGGGGGAUAGCUAGUCCUUUCGAAGACUACACUUCUGGUAACCUCCAUCUUGCAGCAUGUAGAAAAGAGUAGACUGAAGUCCUCCAAGUAGCAUCGUAUAGCAUAAUCCUACCCGAUGAUCCUCUCCUCGUCGCCCUGUUAGAGAGCGAUCACCGGGAUAUAUCUGGCACUUGGAAGGGGGUGUUUUAUUUAGUAUCCGGUUCUAGUUGUCAUAAGGUCAAGGUACAACUCCGGGUCGUCCUUUUACCGAGGGACACGGCUAUUCGAAUAGAUAAAAUUCCCCGCAGGGGUGCACCACAUUCCCCAACACGCUCGAUCCCAUUUGGCCGGACACACUUUUCUGGGUCAUGCCCGGCCUCGGAAGAUCAACACGUUGCAGCCCUACCUAGGCACAACAGAGAGGUCAGCACGCCGGUUUAAACCUAAGCGCACAGGGGUCUGGGCCCAUCGCCCUUAGCACACCUGCACGUUGCGAACGCGGCCGGAAGCAGAACUAGCCCCCUUAAUAGAAGAGCAGGCUUACGUUCCAAUCCGGCGCGCGCCGCUGGGUCGCUGACGUCACGAAGGCUUUCGGCUGAUACCACGACGCCGGGAUACCCAUAACUACUCCUGCGUAGAUGGUUAGUGCGUAUAAGCUAGAUGGCCAGACUCAGAUCAAAUACCCAGAUCUCGUUUAGCGUGUUAAGUAUCCGCGAACGCCAACCAGGGCCAGGCCCACCUCUCUCCUAGGUGGUCUGAACCUGCCCUGUCGCUUCGCCACAAAGAUCCACACAGAGGGCCGUCGGGAAAGUAUGUCCUUGCAGCCCCCAAUUCGUGAAUCAACUGCGGGUACUCCUCGAGCCAACCCGACUUUGUUCAUCACAUGUAUCACGUAUAAAGUAUAUAGUAUAUACCCGUGAUCACCUCCCGAGUGAUCACGGCCCGAUAGUAUAGCAUGGCAGAUGGACAAGAAUGUAGGGCCACUGAUGAUAAACUAGCAUCCUAUACUAAGCAUUAGGAUUGCAGGUCAAGGUAAUAACAGUAGUAGCAAGGACAGGCUAUGUAUCAGGAUAGGAUUAACGGGAAGCAGUAACAUGCUACACUACUCUAAUGCAAGCAGUAUAGAGAAGAGUAGGCAAUAUCUGUGAUCAAAGGGGGGGGGCGCUUGCCUGGUUGCUCUGGCAAGAGAGAGGGGUCGUCAACUCCGUAGUCGUACUGGGGUCACCGGCAGUCUCGGGGUCUACCGGAAAGAAGUAACGGGGGAACACAAUAAAUAAUGGAGCAAUCAAAGCAUCACUAAGCGUAACAUGGCAAUACGCGGUGUUAGAGGUGGUCUAACGCAGGGAUAGGUAAUAUCGGCGAAGGGGGAAAACAUCCGGGAAAGCAUUCCCGGUGUUUCACGUUUUCGGACAGAUGAACCAGAGGGGGAAAGUUGCGUGUUUGCUAUGCUAGGGAUGUGUAGCAGACAAACGGGCUACGUAUCCGGAUUCGUCUCGCCGAUCUGAGCAACUUUCAUGUAUAAAACUUUUUCAUUCGAGUUACGGUUUAUUUUUUAUGAUUUAUCAAAGUUUUAGGCAUUUUUUGAAAUUUAUUUAAUUAUUUAAAUUGAACAUUAUCCAGAACAGUGAAAGGUGAUGUCAGCAUGACAUCACCAUGACGUCAGCAGGUCAACCCAGCUGACCAAAGUCAAACCUGGCCUGUGGGUCCAGCGGGACCCACUUGUCAUCCUCUGUUUAGGUUAGUUAGGGUUUAGCUAAUCCAGUUACUGUUUAAUUAAACUAACUAAUUAAUUAGGUUAAUUAAAUAGGAUUAAUUAACUUACUUAAUUCACUAAUUAAUUAAUUUAAUUAAUUAUUAAAUUAAUUCAUUCAUUUUAUUUUAUUUUUCAUUUUCUUUUAAAACGUUCUGGGGUUGGGGCCCCAUAUGUCAUAGGGCCAGGGGGCCUUAACGGGUCGUGGGUGGUGGUUCUGGGCGCAGGGCGAAGCCGGGCGACGGGCGCCAGCCCGCCCAACAGGGGGCGGCGGCCAGCAGGGCAAGGGAGCCGGCGCGUGGCCCAGCGCCGGCGACCUUAGCCGGAGCAGGGCGGCACGGCGAGGCCGGGGGAGCAAAGGGAGGCGCGGUGGCAUGCACGCAGGGCGCUAGAGGCCCGGCCAGAGUCGGCGAUGCGCGUGGGGGUGGCUUGCCGGAGCCGCCGGGAGCAGCGGCGGGCGGCCAGGCAUGGCGGGGCGGCAACAGGGCGGAAUACAGAGCACGUAGCAGCGGGAGCGGGGAACGCCGCGGGGCGGCGCGCAGCGGGCUCCGGACGCAGGCGCGUGCGGCAGGAAGCGCGAGGGGACGCGGACGAAUGUGGUCUGCGUGCGGAAAGCGUGAGCGCGCGCACGGAGGAGCGGGGGCAUGGUGAGCGGAGCCACGGCGUGAGCGCGUGCACCGGGGGGGGGAGCAGGUGGGGGAGCUCACAGGGGAGGAGUAGGGAACGGGGCAGUGGUGCUUGGGGAGGUCGACGGCGACGACGUGCGUAGAAGGGAGGCAGACCGGUGAGGGCGCUCCGGGCGGCGGGGUGCAGCAUCGAGGUGGCUCUAGGAUCGGCGAGCGGUGGGCGGUGUCGAGGGCGCCGGCGACAUCGGGGCGGCCCCUCGCGAUCCAGAUCGGGAUCGGGCAGAGGGGGGAGAGGGAGAGCGGGGUUAGCGAGGAGGAGGUCAAGGACGGCCUGUCCGACAGGGAGGCGGCGCCGGCGAUCGGCAUUGGGGGCGCGCGGCAUNNNNNNNNNNNNNNNNNNNNNNNNNNNNNNNNNNNNNNNNNNNNNNNNNNNNNNNNNNNNNNNNNNNNNNNNNNNNNNNNNNNNNNNNNNNNNNNNNNNNNNNNNNNNNNNNNNNNNNNNNNNNNNNNNNNNNNNNNNNNNNNNNNNNAGUUGCCCCGAUCUGGAUCAUGGGGGAGUGGGGGAACGAGGGGGGAGUGGGGAGUGACUCGUCUAGGGUUUGGGUGCCAGGGGGGUUAGUAGGCGCGGCUGGGCCGGCCGGCUAGGCCAGGUGGGCUGGCCUGGUGUGAGCUGGGCCGCCUGGUCCAGUGGGGGAGGGGGUUUCCCCUUUUUUUGUAAGUUUUGUUUUCUGUUUUAUUUUUUUAUUUAUAGUUCCUGUUUUCAUAUUAGUUUUACUUUAUUUUUAGUUUUAUAAAAUAUACCACUAGCCCCUAAAUUAGUAUUUAUAAAUACUCUAUUGCCACAUUAAUUCCUCAUACCUAAUAAAAUAGUUUAAUGUUUUAAUAUUUAUAAAAUGCAUUUAAUUAUUUGUUUAAGCCACCGUUCUAUUUAGUUUAGCGCUUUUAAUUAUUUUAUAAAAAUGUGAUCCUCCACCAUAAUUACCUAUGCAAUAUUUGCCGCCUCUAGAACAUUUUAAUUUUAAUGUUUGAAAACUUUACCAUUUGACUUGAUUUUGAAUUUUGAAUUCAAACGGGAUUUGAAUCAUCGUGAGAUCAACAACAGUAAUCAUGGUGAUGUGGCAUCCUUAGUAGAGGGUUACUGUAGCUUAAAUAUCUGGGUGUCACAAUAAGAGGGGGG
rnacentral:lncRNA from 1 species